UACGUAGGGUGCAAGCGUUGUCCGGAAUUAUUGGGCGUAAAGAGCCCGUAGGCGGUCUGUCGCGUCGGCUGUGAAAACUCGGGGCUCAACCCCGAGCCUGCAGUCGAUACGGGCAGACUAGAGUGCUGUAGGGGAGACUGGAAUUCCUGGUGUAGCGGUGAAAUGCGCAGAUAUCAGGAGGAACACCGGUGGCGAAGGCGGGUCUCUGGGCAGUAACUGACGCUGAGGAGCGAAAGCGUGGGGAGCGAACAGG
rnacentral:rRNA from 1 species